rnacentral:rRNA from 1 species
AUUGAACGCUGGCGGCAUGCCUUACACAUGCAAGUCGAACGGCAGCGGACCUUCGGGUGCCGGCGAGUGGCGAACGGGUGAGUAAAGUAUCGGAACGUACCUUUCAGUGGGGGAUAACGUAGCGAAAGUUACGCUAAUACCGCACAUUCUGUGAGCAGGAAAGCAGGGGAUCGCAAGACCUUGCGCUGAUUGAGCGGCCGAAACCAGAUUAGCUAGUUGGUGGGGUAAAGGCCUACCAAGGCGACGAUCUGUAGCGGGUCUGAGAGGAGGAGCCGCAACACUGGGAGUGAGACUCGGCCCAGAAUCCUAGGGGAGGCAGCAGUGGGGAAUUUUGGACAAUGGGCGCAAGCCUGAUCCAGCCAUGCCGCGUGAGUGAAGAAGGCCUUCGGGUUGUAAAGCUCUUUCGGCCGGGAAGAAAUCGCAUGGGCUAAUACCCUGUGUGGAUGACGGUACCGGAAUAAGAAGCACCGGCUAACUACGUGCCAGCCGCCGCCGUAAAAC